AACAGUCACAUGACAUCUGGAGGAGGGAAUGCACCUUACUAAAGCCAAGGGUCUCUCUGUGUAGCCCCGGCAGGCUGUCCUGGAACUUACUCUAUAGACCAAGCUGGCCGCAAACUUGCAGAGAUCUGCCCACCGCUGCAGAGGUGGUGUGCACCACCACCACCCAGUUUAAAUACAUUUUAAAAAGGAGGUUCUUGUAAGGUAAAACUGUCUACAAAACAAGCUUGUGGAGACAGAGAACGUUUCUGACUAUAAAUAUGGCUAGGAAUUCCUUCAGGGGACAUUUGGAGGUUAUAUUGGUGUGGUUACCACGGAUGUCAUAAACUUUGAUAGAGUUCUCCUCUCCUGGGUCUGAUUGUUCCUGGAAAUGAGUCUCCUUUUAUUACAGAAUAGCUGUCUUAAUGAAGUUAUAUGAAGGAGCACACCCAAUGGUUUUGGUUUUUUUUUUUUGUUUGUUUGUUUGUUUUUUUUUUAUGAACAUUAAGGGAGAUUUUUUUUUCUUUUUGAUCUUUUUAAACUGUGUUCAGUAUUCCAUUUAAGCAAGCCUUUACCCAUUCUACAGACCUUUUUAAGGAGUUAAAAGGAGGUGAAGCAUUGAACAAUAUUUUUAUUACUACCCCACAUUUCUAUAGAUGUUCAUCUUCUGUUUCAUUUGGUCACUUGAAGACAUAGAGAGAAAAAUACCAUUAGGUCAUUCAGUGGAAAGGAAUCAUUCAUGGUAUUUAAGAACGAAAGUCACUCAGCCAAACAUCGAUGUCAGUUAAGGACCUGGAUGUGACUCUCACAUACCAUAGCAUCCUCAGCACCAUGGAGGUGAAAGUUUUAAGUGCAGGCGAUGUUAAAUUGUCAAAUUGGAAAGGCCAAGACAAGAGGGAUCGACUACUACCCGGUCAGAUACAGGAAACUCUCAAAGCCCCCGUGUGCACUUGAGCUGAGCUUCAAAGCCUCUGGGAGCUCUAAUGACCCAUGGUCACCAAAGUCAUCAGACCAACAGAAAGACUCAACAGAGCAUCACUAAUGGACUUGCUCCCAAUCUUAACAGACUGAAGCCAACACAGAUUUCAGCCCACGCAGAGGAGAGAGCAGAAGCCCUGAAUACAAAAGACAAAGAGACUGGCAGGGGUGGAGAAAGGGGGAGUGUGGACGCCCAGUCACCACGCUGUGGUUAUUUACAGAUUUUAGGACCUCAAGGAAACUCCUCAAAUCUCUCUGAGCCCCAGUUUAUAACUGUAUAAACACAACGAGUUAUUUUUUUUUUCAAGUUGGUAGUGUUGCUCUUAUAAGCGAGAUGCAUAAAUCUUAGUACUUGUUACAUUUUAGGUUAAUGUUGAUUAUACAUUUUUAUUAAACUCCAUAGCAAUGA
rnacentral:lncRNA from 1 species